UACGUAGGGUGCGAGCGUUGUCCGGAAUUAUUGGGCGUAAAGAGCUCGUAGGCGGUGUGUCACGUCGUUCGUGAAAACCUGCAGCUUAACUGUGGGCGUGCGGUCGAUACGGGCAUCACUGGAGUUCGGCAGGGGAGACUGGAAUUCCUGGUGUAGCGGUGAAAUGCGCAGAUAUCAGGAGGAACACCGAUGGCGAAGGCAGGUCUCUGGGCCGACACUGACGCUGAGGCGCGAAGGCCAGGGGAGCAAACGGG
rnacentral:rRNA from 1 species